UGGGGAAUAUUGCACAAUGGGCGAAAGCCUGAUGCAGCAACGCCGCGUGAGUGAUGAAGGCCUUCGGGUUGUAAAGCUCUGUCUUUUGGGACGAUAAUGACGGUACCAAAGGAGGAAGCCACGGCUAACUACGUGCCAGCAGCCGCGGUAAUACGUAGGUGGCAAGCGUUGUCCGGAUUUACUGGGCGUAAAGGAUGCGUAGGCGGAUUUUUAAGUGAGAUGUGAAAACCCUAAGCUUAACUUGGGGACUGCAUUUCAUACUGGAAAUCUAGAGUGCGGGAGAGGAGAAUGGAAUUCCUAGUGUAGCGGUGAAAUGCGUAGAGAUUAGGAAGAACACCAGUGGCGAAGGCGAUUCUCUGGACCGUAACUGACGCUGAGGCAUGAAAGCGUGGGUAGCAAACAGGAUUAGAUACCCUGGUAGUCCACGCCGUAAACGAUGAGUACUAGGUGUAGGAGGUAUCGACCCCUUCUGUGCCGCAGUUAACACAAUAAGUACUCCGCCUGGAAGUACGAUCGCAAGAUUAAAACUCAAAUGAAUUGACGGGGUCAUAGCUGUUUUCCU
rnacentral:rRNA from 1 species